AGCAGCCGCGGUAAUUCCAGCUCCAAUAGCGUAUAUUAAAGUUGUUGCAGUUAAAAAGCUCGUAGUUGAAUUUCGGGGUUAGUAGGCUGGUCGUGCCACUGGUAUGUACUGGUCUUACUGACUUCUCCUUUCUGAAGAACUGUAAUGCCAUUAAUUUGGUGUUGCAGGGAAUCAGGACUGUUACUUUGAAAAAAUUAGAGUGUUUAAAGCAGGCUAACGCUUGAAUACAUUAGCAUGGAAUAAUGAAAUAGGACGUUCGAUCCUAUUUUGUUGGUUUCUAGGAUUGACGUAAUGAUUAAUAGGGAUAGUUGGGGGCAUUAGUAUUCAAUUGUCAGAGGUGAAAUUCUUGGAUUUAUUGAAGACUAACUACUGCGAAAGCAUUUGCCAAGGAUGUUUUCAUUAAUCAAGAACGAAAGUUAGGGAUCGAAGACGAUCAGAUACCGUCGUAGU
rnacentral:rRNA from 1 species